AGAGACAGCAGUAGCCGCGGGAAUACAGAGGGUGCGAGCGUUAAUCGGAUUUACUGGGCGUAAAGCGUGCGUAGGCGGCUUUUUAAGUCGGAUGUGAAAUCCCUGAGCUUAACUUAGGAAUUGCAUUCGAUACUGGGAAGCUAGAGUAUGGGAGAGGAUGGUAGAAUUCCAGGUGUAGCGGUGAAAUGCGUAGAGAUCUGGAGGAAUACCGAUGGCGAAGGCAGCCAUCUGGCCUAAUACUGACGCUGAGGUACGAAAGCAUGGGGAGCAAACAGGAUUAGAGACCCGAGUAGUCCCUGUCUCUUAUAC
rnacentral:rRNA from 1 species